rnacentral:lncRNA from 1 species
AAGAAGGGGAAUAGAUCUUUCAAUCUAGUUUUCAUUUUUUAAUUUCAACCGUUGAUUAGUUUCUAUUCCACGUGUCACUCAUCCAUCAAAACAAUUGGAAAAAUGAAGCAUAUAUGACUGUAGUGGAUCUCAACUCCAAUGCCACCUGUCAAUAGUUAACGUCUUCGAGAAAAAAUGGAUGGAAAGGACCAAUGUGGCAACAAUGAUAUUAAUAAGGGACCAAUCUAGACUGUUUUUUCUUUAAGGGACCAUUAUGAGACCUAAAAUAUCUUUAAGGGACC